rnacentral:rRNA from 1 species
GAUCCUGGCUCAGGACGAACGCUGGCGGCGUGCCUAACACAUGCAAGUCGAACGGUUUGGUUCUCGACACUGGUUGGCUUAGGGAUAGGCCAACGAGUGUUGGGGAUCAGAUAGUGGCGGACGGGUGAGUAACGCGUGAAUGACCUGACCUAUACAGGGGGACAACACAUGGAAACGUGUGCUAAUACCGCAUAGGACCACGGGGCUACAUGGUUUUGUGGUGAAAGGAGCAAUCCGGUAUAGGAGGGGUUCG